rnacentral:pre_miRNA from 1 species
GACAUAAUUUUUCUGUUCAAAAAUACUUGUCAGAGAAAUUGAUGUGUCUAGACGUAUUUUAAUUCUAGAUACAUCCAUUUUUAUAUAUUUCUCCGACAAAAUUUUCUGGACGGAGAUUGUACAUU